rnacentral:rRNA from 1 species
UACGGGGGAUGCAAGCGUUAUCCGGAUUUACUGGGUGUAAAGGGAGCGUAGACGGCAGUGCAAGUCUGAAGUGAAAGGCGGGGGCCCAACCCCCGGACUGCUUUGGAAACUGUGCUGCUGGAGUGCAGGAGAGGCAAGUGGAAUUCCUAGUGUAGCGGUGAAAUGCGUAGAUAUUAGGAGGAAUACCAGUGGCGAAGGCGGCUUGCUGGACUGUAACUGACGUUGAGGCUCGAAAGCGUGGGGAGCAAACAGG